AUGCAGAACCAGAGAAGCAGGGGAACACUGGCUCCUAACCAUGUGCAGGAGGUGCAUCUGCACCGAGUGGAAUCCAUCAGUGAGCUUCACAGCGGAGGUUCGCUACAGCCCUAUCUGGCUGAAGAGGCACAGACAUGGGAAGAGCUUCUGGGUGUCCUGCCGCCAUCACUGUGCACCCAAGCUGGCUGCAGCCCCAUGUGUGGUCGUGGGGGGUUUCUACUGCUAUUGGCACUGCUGGUAUUCACCUGCCUGGCACUAGCCAUCCUGGCUGUCUACCUAAGUGGUAGGGACAGGAAGGGAACCUAGGGCACCUGCAAAUGCAGCAAUAAAGGGUGGGG
rnacentral:lncRNA from 1 species